rnacentral:rRNA from 1 species
UGGGGAAUUUUCCGCAAUGGGCGAAAGCCUGACGGAGCAACGCCGCGUGAGGGAGGAAGGCUUUUGGGUUGUAAACCUCUUUUCUCAAGGAAGAUUUCAGACGGUACUUGAGGAAUCAGCAUCGGCUAACUCCGUGCCAGCAGCCGCGGUAAUACGGAGGAUGCAAGCGUUAUCCGGAAUAAUUGGGCGUAAAGCGUUCGUAGGUGGUGAUGCAAGUCUGCUGUUAAAGAGUGUAGCUUAACUACAUAAAGGCGGUGGAAACUGCACCACUAGAGUACGUUCGGGGCAGAGGGAAUUCCUGGUGUAGCGGUGAAAUGCGUAGAUAUCAGGAAGAACACCGGUGGCGAAAGCGCUCUGCUAGGCCGUAACUGACACUGAGGGACGAAAGCUAGGGGAGCGAAUGGGAUUAGAUACCCGGGUAGUCC